rnacentral:lncRNA from 1 species
GAAUCCUUGGCACUGAGGUUCAAACGAUAAGAUCUUCGUAGAAUAUGUAGGAUCCAAUAUGGGCAUCCAGGUCCCGCUAUUGGAUAUUGACCGAGGAGUCUCUCGGGUCAUGUCUACAUAGUUCUCGAACCCGCAGGGUCUGCACACUUAAGGUUCGACGUUGUUUUAUGCGUAUUUGAGUUAUAUGGUUGGUUACCGAAUGUUGUUCGGAGUCCCGGAUGAGAUCACGGACGUCACGAGGGUUUCCGGAAUGGNNNNNNNNNNNNNNNNNNNNNNNNNNNNNNNNNNNNNNNNNNNNNNNNNNNNNNNNNNNNNNNNNNNNNNNNNNNNNNNNNNNNNNNNNNNNNNNNNNNNUGGCAUCAUGAGCUAGGUUCAUGCGUAGAUGUCUUCUCGAGUAGAACACAAAAGGUUUUGUGGGCGGUGAUGUGCGUUUUGCUGCCCUCCUUAGUCUUUUCUUGAUUCCGCGGUAUUGUUGGAUCGAAGCGGCUUGGACCGACAUUACUCGUACGGUUACGAGAGACUGGUUUCAUCGUUACGAGUAAACCCCUUUGCUCAAAGAUGACUGGCAAGUGACGGUUUCUCCAACUUUAGUUGAAUCGGACUUGACCGAGGAGGUCCUUGGAUGAGGUUAAAUAGCAACUCAUAUAUCUCCGUUGUGGUGUUUGCGUAAGUAAGAUGCGAUCCUACUAGAUACCCUUGGUCACCACGUAAAACAUGCAACAACAAAAUUAGAGGACGUCUAACUUGUUUUUGCAGGGUAUGAUUGUGAUGUGAUAUGGCCAAUGAUGUGAUGUGAUAUAUUGGAUGUAUGAGAUGAUCAUGUUGUAAUAGAAAUAUCGACUUGCACGUCGAUGGUACGGCAACCGGCAGGAGCCAUAGGGUUGUCUUUAUACUAACAUAUGUGCUUGCAGAUGCGUUUACUAUUUUGCUAGGACGUAGCUUUAGUAGUAAUAGCAUGAGUAGCACGACAACCCCGAUGGCGACACGUUGAUGGAGAUCAUGAUGAUGGAGAUCAUGGUGUGACGCCGGUGACAAGAAGAUCGUGCCGGUGCUUUGGUCAUGGAGAUCAAGAAGCACGUAAUGAUGGCCAUAUCAUGUCACUUAUGAAUUGCAUGUGAUGUUAAUCCUUUUAUGCACCUUAUUUUGCUUAGAACGAAGGUAGCAUUAUGAGGUGAUCUCUCACUAAAAUUUCAAGACGAAAUUGUGUUCUCCCCGACUGUGCACCGUUGCGACAGUUCUUCGUUUCGAGACACCACGUGAUGAUCGGGUGUGAUAGACUCAACGUUCACAUACAACGGGUGCAAAACAGUUGCACACGCGGAACACUCGGGUUAAGCUUGACGAGCCUAGCAUGUGCAGACAUGGCCUCGGAACACAUGAGACCGAAAGGUCGAGCAUGAAUCGUAUAGUUGAUAUGAUUAGCAUAGGGAUGCUUACCACUGAAACUAUUCUCGACUCACGUGAUGAUCGGACUUGAGAUAGCGGAUUUGGAUCAUGUACCACUCAAAUGACUAGAGAGAUGUACUUUUUGAGUGGGAGUUCUUAAGUAAUAUGAUUAAUUGAACUAAUUGUCAUGAACAUAGUCUAAUGGUCUUUGCGAAUUACGAUGUAGCUUGCGCUAUAGCUCUACUGUUUUUAUAUGUUCCUAGAGAAAAUUUAGUUGAAAAUUGAUAGUAGCGACCUUUGCAGACUGAGUCUGUAAAACCAAGGAUUGUCCUCGUUGCUACACAGAAGGCUUAUGUCCUUAAUGCACCACUCGGUGUGCUACACCUCGAGCGUCGUCUGUGGAUGCUAUGAACAUCCGACAUACACGUUACUGAUGACUACACGAUAGUUCAGUGCAAGAUACUUGAUGGCUUAGAAGCAAGGCGCCGAAAACGUUGUAAAACGUCACGGAACAUAAGUGAUGUUCCGAAGAGAUGAAAUUGUGAUUUCAUGCUUGUGCCCUUGUUAAGAGGUACGAGACCUCCAAACAAGAUUCUUUGUCCACAAAGUAAAGGAGAAAAGCUCAAUCGUUGAGCGUGUGCUCAGAUUGUCUGAGUACGACAAUCGCUUGAAUCAAGUGGUAGUUAAUCUUCCAGAUGAGAUAGUGAUGGUUCUCCAAAGUCACUGCCACCAAGCUAUGGGAGCUUCGUGAUGAACUAUAACAUAUCAAGGAUAGAUACUAUGAUCUUUUGAGUGAUUCGCGAUGUUUGACACUGCGAAAGUAGAAAUCAAGAAGGAGCAUCAAUAGUUGAUGGUUAGUAAAACCACUAAGUUUCAAGAAAGGCAAGGGCUAGAAGGGAUACUUCGUGAAACGGCAAAACAGUUGCUGCACUAAUGAAGAGACCCAAGAUUAAACCCAAACCCGAGACUAAGUGCUUCUGUAAUAAGGGGAACAGUCACUGAGGCGGAGCAACUCUAGAUACUUGGUGGAUAAGAAGGCUGGCAAAAGUCGAGAGAAGUAUAUAAGUGAUAUACAUGAUGUUGAUGUGUACUUUACUGGUACUCCUAGUAGCACGAGGGUAUUGGAUACCGGUUCGGUUGCUAAGUGAUUAGUAACGCGAAAUGAAAGCUACGGCAUAAACAGAGACUAGCUAAAGGCGAGGUGACGAUAAGUGUUGGAAGUGUUUCCAAGGUUGAUAUGAUCAAACGUCGCACGCUCCCUCUACCAUCGGGAUUGGUGUUAAACCUAAAUAAUUGUUAUUUGGUGCUUGCGUUAAGCAUGAACAUGAUUGGAUCGUGUUUAUUGCAAUACGAUUAUUCAUUUAAGGAGAAUAAUGGUUACUCUAUUUUCUUGAAUAUUCACCUUCAAUGGUUUAUUGAAUCUCGAUCGUAGUGUUACACAUGUUCAUGAUAUUGGUGCCAAAAGAUACGAGUUAAUGAUGAUAGUACCACUUACUUGUGGCACUGCCACUUGAGUCAUGUUAGUAUAAAUUGCAUGAAGAGGCUCCAUGCCGAUGGAUCUUUGUACUCACCUGAUUUCGAAUCACUAGUGACAUGCAAAUCAUACCACAUGAGCAAGGCCUUGUUUUCAUUGAGAUGAAAUAAGAUAGUAACUUGUUGGAAGUGAUACAUUUUGAUGUAUGCAGUCCAAUGGGUGCUGAGGCACGUAGUGGAUAUCAUUAUGUUCUUACUUCACUGACGAUUUGAGUAGAUACAAGAGUAUUUACUUAAUGAAUCACAAGUCUGAAAUGUUGAAAAGUUCAAUUCAGUGAAGUUCGUCGUAACAAGAGGAUAAACUGUCUACGAUAUGAUCAUAGAAAUGAAUAUCUGAGUUACGAGUUUUGGUACGCAGUUAAGACAAUGUGGAAAUUGUUUCGCAGUUCAUGCCACCUGGAACAUCAUAGUGUGAUGAUGUGUCUGAACGUCAUAGCCAUGCACUAUUUGGUAUGGUGCAUACUAUGAUGUCUCUUAUCGAAUUACCACUAUCGUUUAUGGGUUAUGCAUUAGAGACAACCGCACUCACUUUAAAUAGGGCACCGCGUAUUUCCAUUGAGAUGACACAGUAUAGACUGAGGUUUAGAGAAAUCUAAACUGUCGUUUCUUGAAAGUUUGGGGCUUCGACACUUAUGUGAAAAAGUUUCAGUCUGAUAAGCUCGAACCCAAAGCGGAUAAAUGCAUCUUCAUAGGAUAUCCAAAACAGUUGGGUACAUCUCCUAUAUCAGAUCCGAAAGCAAAGUGUUUGUUUCUAGAAACAGAUCCUUUCUAGAGGAAAGGUUUCUCUCGAAAGAAUUGAGUGGGAGGGUAGUAGAACUUGAUGAGGUUAUUGAACCAUCACUUCAACCAGUGUGUAGCAGGGCGCAGGAAGUUGUUCCUGUGGCGCCUACACCAAUUGAAGUGGAAGCUGAUGAUGGUGAUCAUCAAGCAUCGGAUCAAGUUACUACAAGCCUCGUAGGUCGACAAGGUCGCGUACUACUGCAGAGUGGUACGGUAACCCUGUCUUGGAGGUCAUGUUGUUGAGCAACAGUGAACCUACGAGUUAUGGAGAAAGCGAUGGUGGGCCCAGAUUCCGACAAAUGGCUGGAAGCCAUGAAAUCCGAGAGAGGAUCCAUGUAUGAAAACAAAGUGUAGACUUUGAAAGAACUACUUGAUGGUCAUAAGACUAUUGAGUAAAGAUGGAUCUUUAAAAGAAGACAGACGAUGAUGGUGAUAAGUCACUAUUAAGAAAAGCUCGACUUGUCGCAAAGAUGUUUUCGACAAGAUCAAACAGUUGACUAUGAUGAGACUUUCUCACUCGUAGCGAUGCUAAAAGUCUGUUAGAAUUAUGUUAGUUGUUGAUGCAUUAUUUAUGAAAUAUUGCACGUAGGAUGUCAAAACAUUGUUUCCUCGACGGUUUCCUUGAGCAAACAUUGUAUGUGAUACAACCAGGAGGUUUUGUCGAUCCUAAAGAUACUAGCAAGUAUGCAAGCUCCAGUGAUCCUUCAAUGGACUGGUGCAAGCAUCUCGGAGUUGGAAUAUACACUUUGAUGAGAUGAUCAAAGAUUUUGGGUUUGUACAAGGUUUAUGAGAAACUUGUAUUUCCAAAGAAGUGAGUGGGAGCACUAUAGAAUUUCUGAUAAGUAUAUAUGGUAGACAUAUUGUGGAUCAGAAGUAAUGUAGAAUUUCUGUAAAGCAUACAAGGUUGUUUGAAAGGAGUUUUCAAAGGAAUACCUGGAUUGCGCUACUUGAACGUUGAGCAUCAAAAAUCUAUGGAGAUAGAUCAAAAGCGCUUAAUGAAAGUUUCAAUAAGAUGCAUGCCUUGACAAGUUUUUGAAGGAGUUCAAAAUAGAUCAGCAAAGAAGGAGUUCUUGGUUGCGUUGUAAGGUGUGAAUUUGAGUAAGACUCAAAACUCGACCACGGCAGAAUAAAGAGAAUAGACGAAGGUCGUCUUCUAUGCCUUAGCCGUAGACUCUAAAGUAUGCCAUGCUGAGUACCGCACCUGAUGUGUGCCUUGACUCAAAGUCUGUUGAGAGGUACAGAAAGUGAUCCAUGAUUGAAUCACUGAUCAGCGGUCAAAGUUAUCCUUAGUAACUAAAUAG